UUUAUGGUUUACACGGGUGUUUACGCAUGUCCGGUGGCAGAUGUUGAUUCCGGAAAUGGGUUCUCAGCCGGAAGCAUUCUGCUCAUUAUAUUCUUUAUUCUGCUAUUCCUGUACCUCAUCUGCGGGGUGGUGUUCCAGAAAAUCUUCAAGAAAUCGUCUGGGAAAGAUCUCAUUCCGCACGUCUUGUUUUGGACAAGUUUGCCUGGCCUCAUACAGGCUGGAGUAUACUUUUCCUUUUCCUGCGGGAAAGUUAACAAAGGAUAUGAAAAUGUAUGACGACGUGGUGAAUAUUGCUAACUGUAAAUUAGUGAACUGCCGAAAUGAGAAGAGACGAAUACGUGGGAGUAGAGAAGGGUGUCCGAAAUUAGGAACGAAAUAGCAGUGUGAAUAUGGUUCCAGAGUAUUUCGCGAUGCAAAACCAUUAAUCUGGGAAGUUGGAAUAAGUCUUAAAAGAAAUCGCCUUUGAGGUAGGAAUCAUGAACAAAACUUUCAAAAUUCCGCGAUACAAAACGACUUUUCUGGAGCAGUGGAAUAAGUCUUAGACAUAUAGACAAAAACAAACCUUCCGAAUCUGGAACAAGAUAAUGAGUUUUAAUAUCAUGGUGGACGAGAAUAUCGCAAAUUAUCCUUCCGAACUCUGAAAUUAAAUGACAGGUGCAAACGUGAUAUACGAAGAUAUUGGUAAGACAUCUGCCGAGCUGUAUAAAAGGUGAAAGUCUUGUCGUAAGUAACAUUUUGUGAUUGGUGACAUAGAUUCCAUUCUUACGGUGUACAAAUCUAUGCUUUCAUGCAGCGCAAGAUCACUUGUUAUUGAGCAUCAUAUGUGGAAAGUACUAUACAAAAUAAAGGCUCUUGGUAUUUGGCUCAAUGCCCAUAACAUAAAUCAUUCUUUGCCUUGAAGUAGGUUUGUUGUUGGUGUACACUACUUGAUCACAUGGCAAUCCAAGGAGAUAUUAAAAACAACAAGAAUGAAAUAUAUGGAAAUAAAGACGAAAAGAACAAAAAAAAAGCAAUGUUGAGUUUCAAAUAGAAUCGUUGUUUGUUUUUUAAUGCUUUGUUACAGUUGUUACAUCACGGUUUAAAACAUUGACCUCUGACACUUAUCAUCGCAGAGCUUAUGUAGUAAGUCUACAUACUGUUCACAAUGGAGAUUCGUGCAUCAUCGUGCCAUCCCUGCCGUACAUGUAUCUCUCUACGCCAAUAUCGAUGUGCUAUGUCUAUUGCAAACUAGGUUGCGCAAAACUUUUACCCUACCGGAAUAA